AGUGAACGCUGGCGGUAGGCCUAACACAUGUAAGUCGAACGGCAGCACAGUAAGAGCUUGCUCUUACGGGUGGCGAGUGGCGGACGGGUGAGGAAUACAUCGGAAUCUACUUUUUCGUGAGGGAUAACGUAGGGAAACUUACGCUAAUACCGCAUACGACCUACGGGUGAAAGCAGGGGAUCUUCGGACCUUGCGCGAUUGAAUGAGCCGAUGUCGGAUUAGCUAGUUGGCGGGGUAAAGGCCCACCAAGGCGACGAUCCGUAGCUGGUCUGAGAGGAUGAUCAGCCACACUGGAACUGAGACACGGUCCAGACUCCUACGGGAGGCAGCAGUGGGGAAUAUUGGACAAUGGGCGCAAGCCUGAUCCAGCCAUACCGCGUGGGUGAAGAAGGCCUUCGGGUUGUAAAGCCCUUUUGUUGGGAAAGAAAAGCAGCAGGUUAAUACCCCGCUGUUCUGACGGUACCCAAAGAAUAAGCACCGGCUAACUUCGUG
rnacentral:rRNA from 1 species